GUGGUAGACAGUGAACAAUUCCGCGUAGUGCUCCAGAUCUACCGGAUGAGUCUAAAAUCAGUCUAUAACCAAGAUUCAAUCUUUGAUACACCUAGAAAACAUAAACUAAGAGAAAAGUAAAAAAAAAACAGGAACUUUAUUUAAAAAAAAAAAUAUUAAAUCAUUACAGCAAAGAGUUAGACGUCUUUAAAACAGGAACUUGCCCUUCAGAGAAAUCAUCAAUUACUUAAAAACACAAUUUUCAUUGACACAAAUUUAUAUAAUUCAUUAAAUCAAAACAUGGCUGCAAUAGAUUUGUUUAACAAUUGGAAGCGAAAAAAGGAGUAAAUAUAUUUAAAACUAUAAA
rnacentral:misc_RNA from 1 species